GACAGAGGUGCCAAGCGUUAGGCGGAAUCACUGGGCUUAAAGCGUGUGUAGGCGGAUCGUUAAGUACCUUGUGAAAUCCCACGGCUCAACCGUGGAACUGCUGGGUAUACUGGCGAUCUUGAGCCACCUAGGGGCGAGCGGAACAAACGGUGGAGCGGUGAAAUGCGUAGAUAUCGUUUGGAACGCCAACGGUGAAAACAGCUCGCUGGGGGUGUGCUGACGCUGAGACACGAAAGCCAGGGGAGCAAACGGG
rnacentral:rRNA from 1 species